rfam:Phanerochaete carnosa HHB-10118-sp unplaced genomic scaffold PHACAscaffold_9, whole genome shotgun sequence.
GCCUGCCUAGCUCAAUCGGAUAGAGCGUGAGACUUUUAAGCCGCGGGUUAAUUGCUUAGGUAAUCUCAAGGCUGCGGGUUCGACCCCCGCGGUGGGCU